UGCCAGCCGCCGCGGUAAUACGAAUGUUGCGAGCGUUGUUCGGAUUUACUGGGCUUAAAGGGUGUGUAGGCGGUUCAUUGAGUCAGGUGUGAAAGUCUGCGGCUCAACCGUAGAAUUGCGCCUGAUACUGAUGAACUUGAGUAAGGAGGAGGAGAGUGGAAUUCUAGGUGUAGCGGUGAAAUGCGUAGAUAUCUAGGAGAAGACCAGUGGCGAAGGCGACUCUCUAUUCCAUUACUGACGCUGAGACACGAAAGCCAGGGUAGCGAAAGGGAUUAGAUA
rnacentral:rRNA from 1 species